rnacentral:rRNA from 1 species
UACGUAGGAUGCAAGCGUUGUCCGGAGUUACUGGGCGUAAAGCGCGCGCAGGCGGCAAGGUAAGUAAGGUGUGAAAUCUGUCGGCUCAACCGGGAGGGUGCACUUUAGACUGCUUUGCUUGAGGGCGGUAGAGGGGGGUGGAAUUGCUGGUGUAGCGGUGAAAUGCGUAGAUAUUGGGAAGAACACCGGUGGCGAAGGCGGCGACCUGGUCCGAUACUGACGCUGAGGCGCGAAAGCGUGGGGAGCAAAAGGG